rnacentral:rRNA from 1 species
CUUGGGAAUUAAGCAUCGGCUAACUCCGGGCCAGCAGCCGCGGUAAUACGGAGGAUGCAAGCGUUAUCCGGAUUCAUUGGGUUUAAAGGGUGCGUAGGCGGAUUAAUAAGUCAGUGGUGAAAUCCUACAGCUUAACUGUAGAACUGCCAUUGAUACUGUUAGUCUUGAAUUUGGUUAAGGUAGGCGGAAUGUGUAAUGUAGCGGUGAAAUGCUUAGAUAUUACACAGAACACCAAUUGCGUAGGCAGCUUACUGGACCGACAUUGACGCUGAGGCACGAAAGCGUGGGGAUCGAACAGGAUUAGAUACCCUGGUAGCCCACGCCGUAAACGAUGAUUACUCGCUGUUGGCGAUACACAGUCAGCGGCUAAGCAAAAGCAAUAAGUAAUCCACCUGGGGAGUACGGCCGCAAGGUUGAAACUCAAAGGAAUUGACGGGGGCCCGCACAAGCGGAGGAACAUGUGGUUUAAUUCGAUGAUACGCGAGGAACCUUACCUGGGCUUAAAUGUAGAGUGCAUGAGGUGGAAACACUUCUUUCCUUCGGGACUCUUUGCAAGGUGCUGCAUGGUUGUCGUCAGCUCGUGCCGUGAGGUGUCGGGUUAAGUCCCAUAACGAGCGCAACCCUUAUCGUUAGUUGCCAGCGGGUAAUGCCGGGGACUCUAGCGAAACUGCCACCGUAAGGUGAGAGGAAGGUGGGGAUGACGUCAAAUCAGCACGGCCCUUAUGUCCAGGGCUACACACGUGUUACAAUGGCCGGUACAGAGGGCAGCUACCUGGUGACAGGAUGCUAAUCUCGAAAACCGGUCUCAGUUCGGAUCGAAGUCUGCAACUCGACUUCGUGAAGCUGGAUUCGCUAGUAAUCGCGCAUCAGCCAUGGCGCGGUGAAUACGUUCCCGGGCCUUGUACACACCGCCCGUCAAGCCAUGGAAGCUGGGGGUGCCUGAAGUCCGUAACCGAAGGGAGCGGCCUAGGGUAAAACUAGUGACUGGGGCUAAGUCGUAACAAGGUAGCC